rnacentral:rRNA from 1 species
UGGGGAAUUUUGGACAAUGGGGGAAACCCUGAUCCAGCCAUCCCGCGUGUGCGAUGAAGGCCUUCGGGUUGUAAAGCACUUUUGGCAGGAAAGAAACGUCAUGGGUUAAUACCCCGUGAAACUGACGGUACCUGCAGAAUAAGCACCGGCUAACUACGUGCCAGCAGCCGCGGUAAUACGUAGGGUGCAAGCGUUAAUCGGAAUUACUGGGCGUAAAGCGUGCGCAGGCGGUUCGGAAAGAAAGAUGUGAAAUCCCAGAGCUCAACUUUGGAAAUGCAUUUAUAACUACCGGGCUAGAGUGUGUCGGAGGGAGGUGGAAUUCCGCGUGUAGCAGUGAAAUGCGUAGAUAUGCGGAGGAACACCGAUGGCGAAGGCAGCCUCCUGGGAUAACACUGACGCUCAUGCACGAAAGCGUGGGGAGCAAACAGG